AUUGAACGCUGGCGGCAGGCCUAACACAUGCAAGUCGAGCGGAUGAAGGGAGCUUGCUCCUGGAUUCAGCGGCGGACGGGUGAGUAAUGCCUAGGAAUCUGCCUGGUAGUGGGGGAUAACGUCCAGAAACGGGCGCUAAUACCGCAUACGUCCUGAGGGAGAAAGUGGGGGAUCUUCGGACCUCACGCUAUCAGAUGAGCCUAGGUCGGAUUAGCUAGUUGGUGGGGUAAAGGCCUACCAAGGCGACGAUCCGUAACUGGUCUGAGAGGAUGAUCAGUCACACUGGAACUGAGACACGGUCCAGACUCCUACGGGAGGCAGCAGUGGGGAAUAUUGGACAAUGGGCGAAAGCCUGAUCCAGCCAUGCCGCGUGUGUGAAGAAGGUCUUCGGAUUGUAAAGCACUUUAAGUUGGGGGGAAGGGCAGUAAGUUAAUACCUUGCUGUUUUGACGUUACCAACAGAAUAAGCACCGGCUAACUUCGUG
rnacentral:rRNA from 1 species